AGAUUGAACGCUGGCGGCAUGCCUAACACAUGCAAGUCGAACGGGAGUAGCAAUACUCUAGUGGCGGACGGGUGAGGAAUACGUAGGAAUUUGCCCUUAAGUGGGGGAUAACCCGGGGAAACCCGGAUUAAUACCGCAUGACCUCGAAAGAGCAAAGUGGGGGAUCGCAAGACCUCACGCUUUUGGAGAAGCCUACGUCGGAUUAGCUAGUUGGUGAGGUAAUGGCUCACCAAGGCGACGAUCCGUAACUGGUCUGAGAGGAUGAUCAGUCACACCGGAACUGAGACACGGUCCGGACUCCUACGGGAGGCAGCAGUGGGGAAUAUGGACAAUGGGCGCAAGCCUGAUCCAGCAAUGCCGCGUGUGUGAAGAAGGCCUUCGGUUGUAAAGCACCUAAGUUAGGAAGAAAAACGUACGACUCUUAACAACAGUGAGUACUUGACGGUUACCGACAGAAUAAAGACAACCGGCUAACUACUGUGCCAGCACGCCGC
rnacentral:rRNA from 1 species